UACGUAGGGUCCAAGCGUUAUCCGGAAUCACUGGGCGUAAAGCGUGCGUAGGUGGCGCGUUAAGUGUGAUGUUAAAUCGUGUGGCUCAACCAUAUCGAUGCAUCGCAUACUGGAUGUCUUGAGGAAGGCAGAGGCAAGUGGAACUAGUAGUGUAGCAGUGAAAUGCGUAGAGAUUACUAAGAACACCAAUGGCGAAGGCAGCUUGCUGGGCCUUUUCUGACGCUGAGGUACGAAAGCGUGGGGAGCGAACAGG
rnacentral:rRNA from 1 species